AGAGUUUGAUCCUGGCUCAGGAUGAACGCUAGCUACAGGCUUAACACAUGCAAGUCGCGGGGCAGCAUAUAGAUAGCUUGCUAUUUAUGAUGGCGACCGGCGCACGGGUGAGUAACGCGUAUCCAACCUUCCCCAUAGUAGGGUAUAGCCCGGCGAAAGUCGGAUUAAUCCCCUAUGUUGUUUGAAGCGGACAUCUAAUUCAAACCAAAGAUUCAUCGCUAUGGGAUGGGGAUGCGUCUGAUUAGGUUGCAGGCGGGGUAACGGCCCACCUGGCCGACGAUCAGUAGGGGUUCUGAGAGGAAGGUCCCCCACACCGGUACUGAGACACGGACCAGACUCCUACGGGAGGCAGCAGUGAGGAAUAUUGGUCAAUGGGCGGGAGCCUGAACCAGCCAAGUAGCGUGCAGGAUGACGGCCCUACGGGUUGUAAACUGCUUUUAUGCGGGGAUAAAGUGCGGCACGUGUGCCGUUUUGCAGGUACCGCAUGAAUAAGGACCGGCUAAUUCCGUGCCAGCAGCCGCGGUAAUACGGAAGGUCCGGGCGUUAUCCGGAUUUAUUGGGUUUAAAGGGAGCGUAGGCGGCCUGGUAAGCGUGUUGUGAAAUGUGGGUGCUCAACAUCUGCACUGCAGCGCGAACUGCCGGGCUUGAGUGCGCCGGAAGCGGGCGGAAUUCGUCGUGUAGCGGUGAAAUGCUUAGAUAUGACGAAGAACCCCGAUUGCGAAGGCAGCUCGCUGUAGCGUUACUGACGCUGAAGCUCGAAGGUGCGGGUAUCGAACAGGAUUAGAUACCCUGGUAGUCCGCACGGU
rnacentral:rRNA from 1 species